rnacentral:lncRNA from 1 species
UAGAUUUUCAAUUUGAUUUCAUCAAACAAUCUACAAACAUACAUAAAAUCAAACCUUAAUUAACAAGAACAAAAUAUAAUAAAUGUCAUCAAACAAACAGUCUAAUCCUCCUUGCUCUCUUUAGUUUGUGGAGGAAUGGGUCUUUCUAGGAAACGGUUGACCAAGAGACUAACAAAGAACAUAAUGUGUAAAAGAAGCUUCAAUUUCUCCAAUCUCUGUGCAAGACAGCAAUCGAUAGGGUAAUACAUGUUGUAAAAAUCCUUUACCAAGAAUAAAAACGACAUGAGAACAAAAAAAAUGCUCAUGUGCAUGCUCCAAUCGGCCCAUCUGGUCCUAGCCAUUGAACCUAAAAUGACAGACAUUGUAGUAAAAUUAGAUAUGAUAUUUACACUCAACAACAAGGACCAAAUAAAAACAAAGUUAAAGCGAUAUCAAACCAUUCUGGUGUGAUGGUGGACGAACAAUCAUCGUUAAUUUCCUGAUGCCACAAAAUCUGUCAGUAAUGGAUAUUAAUCCCUCAGUAAUACUGGCGGAAUAAUCUGCCAGUAAGUACUGGUGGAAAAAUCUGCCAAUAACGUAGUAUAGGAAAUGUAACUAAAUAAUACUGGCCGUUUUAUUCCGCCAGUAAUUUUGCUUCCAAUUAUCGAAAGGGGUUUCUUUUUAUUUGGCACACAAUGAUUUGGGUGUUUUGGAAUGUGAGAAAUGAUAGGAUUUUCAACUGUAGAAUUGUGACCAUCAAUGAAAUUUUUGGGGAUAUCAAGGUUAUGUCAUGGAAGUAGAGUUUGUGUAGAUUGAAAUGGUCACCUUGUCUCUUUUAUGAGUGAUGUUGGGAUCCCGGCGAUUGUAAUAGCUUGUUUUUUUUUGGCUAUGGGGAGGGGGCAGCUGGAUAAUUUCUGUACAGGCUGUUUUUGUUUCGGCUAGUUCUUGCAGUCAUGAUUUCAUGUUGUUCUCCGCUGUUCUUUUCAGAUAAUAUUGACUAUAUUAAUCAAUUUCAAAGCAAAACAUUAUUACUAGAGACGAGAUAUAAGAAAGAGUUGUAUAACAGGAUAAAGAGCGAGAAAAAAAAAAGAGCACAGUAAGAGAGAAAAAAUCUGCACUAGCAUGGAACAAUUCCAAAGGCCAUGAAAAUCCAAACAUACAUACCUUGAACAAGCCUAAUACCUCAAAACAAUGCAGCAACCAAUCAACACACAAUUGAUUUUCUGUAACAAUUUAUUUAUUCAGAUGCUAAUGUAAGGAAGAUGAGUUACGACAUGAGUUAAAUAAAUA